AACCGAAGCCCCGGUAAACGGCGGCCGUAACUAUAACGGUCCUAAGGUAGCGAAAUUCCUUGUCGGGUAAGUUCCGACCUGCACGAAUGGCGUAACGAUUUCCGCGCUGUCUCAACCAGUGGCUCAGCGAAAUUGAAUUCUCGGUGAAGAUGCCGAGUACCCGCGGCAAGACGGAAAGACCCCGUGAACCUUUACUACAGCUUGACAGUGACAUUCGGAAUAGCUUGUGUAGGAUAGGUGGGAGACUUUGAAGCUGGCACGCCAGUGUCGGUGGAGUCGUCCUUGAAAUACCACCCUGGUUGUUUUGGAUGUCUAACCUAGGCCCGUCAUCCGGGUCGGGGACACUGUCUGGUGGGUAGUUUGACUGGGGCGGUCGCCUCCCAAAGAGUAACGGAGGCGCGCGAAGGUUCCCUCAGCCCGAUUGGAAACCGGGCGUAGAGUGCAAUGGCAUAAGGGAGCUUGACUGCGAGACCCACAAGUCGAGCAGGUACGAAAGUAGGUCAUAGUGAUCCGGCGGUUCUGUAUGGAAGGGCCGUCGCUCAACGGAUAAAAGGUACUCCGGGGAUAACAGGCUGAUCUCCCCCAAGAGUUCACAUCGACGGGGAGGUUUGGCACCUCGAUGUCGGCUCAUCGCAUCCUGGGGCUGAAGUAGGUCCCAAGGGUUUGGCUGUUCGCCAAUUAAAGCGGUACGCGAGCUGGGUUUAAAACGUCGUGAGACAGUUUGGUCCCUAUCUACCGUGGGCGCAGGAUACUUGAGAAGAGCUGUCCUUAGUACGAGAGGACCGGGAUGGACGUACCGCUGGUGUUCCAGUUGUUCCGCCAGGAGCAGUCGCUGGGUAGCUAAGUACGGAAAGGAUAACCGCUGAAAGCAUCUAAGCGGGAAGCCUCCUUCAAGAUUAGGUAUCCCUGGGUGUAACAACCCCUGAAGGCCCGUUGUAGACCACAACGUUGAUAGGCUAGGUGUGUAAUCACAGUAAUGUGUUCAGCUUACUAGUACUAAUCGGCCGUGAGGCUUGACCAU
rnacentral:rRNA from 1 species